CUUCUUUAUCGGGCCUCCUUUUGCAGGAGCUUUGAUCUGGAGGAUGCGGUCACAUUUUGCUUGGAGGUACGAAUUGUCUAGAAAAACCCAAAAAAGAAGAACACGCCCUUAAAUAACUCCUCAAACUGAAUUUAAAAAAUUCCUGGGCCUCAGCCCAGAGCUACUGACUGAGAAAAUCUGGGAGCGAGUCUGGAAGCCGCCUCUUUACCAAUAUCUUCAGGUGAUGCCGAUGAAGCUACAUUGAAAACAUCACCGAGAUCAAGCGUAGGAAGCCAACCCCUCGCUCAGGACUUGAUACACAGGAAGAGCUUAAGAAAUGCCAACCUUCCUUCCUGCUCCCUCCACCUCUUUGCACUGGACCCGUGAAGAAAGAACAGAGGACGACCGAUUGCAUUUGAUGCAACAAUGACCAUUUCAUGUGACAACAAAAAAAUCAAGUGGUCCUGGACGCUUAAUCUUCUCGGGACAUCUCAUCACCUUCCAGCAUCUGAAAUCACCAUGUCUGCCUGCAACGUGUGGACUAGGGAGAAAUGACUGUUUCAGUUGGGCAGGCUAGUCCACCACCUUUCAUCCAAGAAAUCCGUGUCCCAAAGUGACUUUCUGACAGUUGGUAUUCAAUGCCUUACGGCACUGUUGAGAAUGCUGAAGAAGCAGACUAGGUUGUCCAUUCAAGAACGAGUCCCACAUCUGGAGUGCAGAACUGACUGCCAAAGAAAUAUGGGCUCUUCGAUGAAAAGGAAGCCAGUGGUUCCUGCCAUCCAGAAGCCAUUCUAUGCAGGAGGCCACCACUGCUCCCGCCGGCUCCAGAAGCAGCCCAUAUCUGCUGUAAUCCACACCAGCAAAGCGGAUGCCCUGACACCCGUGGAGCUAGAGACCCUAGCACUGCUACAAGGGAGCUAAAUGGCUCCACGGAUAAGCUUGGCCGUUGAGAGAGACGACAAAAGGACUACUUCUACCUUCUUCCACCUUCCCAAGCAUACACGCUUGCAUCUGAUGGGCUGAGGCUAAGUGACAUCAGUAACCCUAGUUGCACAGGAGUCUGGGAAAUGUAGUUUUUAGCUUCCUAGCCUCUACAACUCAAGUGGGCAUCCAAGAAGGAGAGUAGAAUUGUGUCGGGUGCCAAUGGUUGUUGGGAACCAACCUACCACAUUAGGGCUGCCCCGUUGGCAGAGCUAGCUGCAGGAUGGCGAGUGGAGCUUCUGGGUAGAACAGUUAAUGCUCAGGUGAGGAGUAGGGUGUGGACGUGGCUGAAAGCCAAACUCUCCCAUCCUCUGCCUUUACAGAACCGUGAGCACACCUGCUGUGCCACCCCUCCCUGCCCCGGGAAGCAGCCUUCUUUGCAUGUCCUGUGCUGGGUGGAGUGGGCAGCGCGGCAUGGCUCAAGGCACUGUGGGCAAAGGUUCUGGUUACCCUUUGCCACUGACAACGUGCGACGAAGCACGCUUCUUCUUCAGUAAACAAGGGGACUGGCCGAGGCCUCUCGUCGCCCUUAACAACCUCUAAGUUUAUAAGAAACAGACUCCCUUGUGGUCACUUCAUUCCAGAGCUACAUUGGAGGAAUAACAUAUUUCUUUUCAAUAUCAACGUUGUCAAAACCACAGUAGCUGGGUUUGCAUGGUUUCUGGUAAAACGGUGGCUGUUAAAACUAUGCCAGUGCAAACGUGGACAUAAAUAGAUAAUAAAUCCUGAUAGGUCUAUAGGACUGCUAUAUUUAGAUUCAAACCUGUUCACCCUCACGAGAUAAAGCUCCGUUUGAUGGCUCAGCUUCCCAAACCGGGCAAAGGUUCAGAAAUGGAAGGUUUGUGGAUUUCAUUGCCAAGAAGACAGAAAGUAGAGGCAGUAAAUCUAGAGUGUCAGUGUUGAUGCUGAAUUUUACUGUUGGAGCCCGGGUCUGCCCCCGCCCCUUCCCCAGUCUUUGGCCCUGUAGAGGUCAGGUGUAACUUCCUGAAUUCUGUUAGCCUGACAUUUCAAGGGCUUAGAGCCAUUUAAAAAAGGUGAAUAUGCAUGCAAUGACCAACGUGUCGGGGCCAACAUUUAGCUUCUGCUUAAGAACUCCUGGGGGCUGAAGUGAUUUUCCUAAGCAUAGGCAAGCCUGGUUGAAGAAACCCAAACGUACAAAUGUUUGAUCAGGGGCUUUAAAUGAGAGUAUUUACAUGGAAAAAUAUCUAGUAUCAUAGCAGGUGCCUUCCUUCUGCAUUUUACAUGAAUAAGCCUCUCUUGGCUCUCCAGAAAUCCACUGUUUAUAGGGUGUGAAGCCCCCCAGAGCAGGCAAAGCUCUCCUCUGGGAAUGUGUAUUUUCUUGGUUGCUUGUGGUAUUUGCUGUUUGUUUUAGGUUCUCAGUUAAGAAGCCCUUGAGAACAAGAGGGGAACUUCAAGUUCAUCUAGCUCAACUCCCCAGUUGGAAAGAGCCAGUGGGAGAAUGAAGUCAAAGCAGGAAAGCCUUGUGGGAGAUCCUGACUGUCAUCUGAUCGUCAGCCGUGCGUGGCCCCCCUCUUGCCCUCGGCCACCUGUGCCUUCAGCUCACCUCUUGGACCUUGAGUUUCUGCAAGUCAGUCAAUUCCUUCCCACUCCCAUUUCACCACUCCCCCCCACCCCCAGUUUUUUCUUUCUUUGAAGCAACCCGUGUUAUGUUUUCCCAGUGGGUCAGCGUCCUGGACGUUUUACCCAAGUGGCUUGGAGGUAGUCCUGCUUAUCUUAGCUUCUGAAUCUAACCAGUCCUUAAUUAUUAUCAUCACUUGACCAAAUCCCCUUCUCUCUUCUCUCUACCUUCAUCCACACCCACUCCCGGAAAUGGAUAGGUCUUGGCUGGGCAGGGGUGAGGACCCCUAGGCCAGUGUGAGCAGUUUCUCAUCCAGGGCAGCAAGGAUGCCCAGAGAAGCCAGUGGAGGAGGAGUCACAGCAGGAAGCUGUAGGUCCUCCAACCAAAGGAGUCACUGGCAGGUGUUGGAGACAGGAGAUUGGACUUUGAGACAGCAGAGAACAACCUCAAGGGCAGGGCCAGGGAGCUUGGCUUGAGCAGGGUCACUCCUUCAUGCCAUCAGAGCCAGUGGGGGACUCUCAGCACGGUGUGCGGUCCAGGAUGAACAUUUGGCACCUGCUGCGAUUUUAGCACUGUGUAUGUGUGUGUAUGUGUGUGCACACGCCUGCAAAAAUGCAAGCAUUGUGUGUGCAGGGACCUACGAGUGACACGAGGCUCAAGACCCAGUCCUUAGCGAUGGUUUCCAAUCCGUUUGGAAAUACGCAAGACCCAUCUUACACAGCAGGCCGUGUAUUAAGCGCCACAUUAUGGUGGACAGAGAGCUAAACUGGUAAUGAGGGUGCCGCCCAGUUCUAACCCUCUACCUGUUCCUUAACUUGGCUUUGUGGGCCUCCAUUCGCUCUCCUGUAAUGUGGAGGGAUGGGAGUGAACAGUGACAAACAAAACGAAUCUGAAAAGAAAGGUGACACAGAUGGGGGAGGGUGCACAGAACAUGUGAAUUUCCACAAAGCAAACAUGGGAAUUUGUGGUAUCGAUACCACCCAAGUCAAGCAAUGGAUCAAUACCAGUGUCCAGAGGCCACUUUCGAUCCCCCUCCAGAUCACUGCGCGCUCUUCUCUCCAGAGGCAGCCACUGUGGUCUCAAUAGUCUGGAAGUCCCUUUCAGCUAUAACAUUGAGUAACCCUACACAUAACAGGCAUAGACAGAAGACCACCGCGGCGCCGGCCAAAGCUGUUAAAAACUGGAACUCUGUUGUGUAAGUUCCUUGACAUAGUUUUACAACAAUGAGUAUGUAGGGCCCAGAUUGUUUCUUUGUCCAUCAGAACCCUACUUUUUUUUUUUUUUGAACAACUGAGCAUAAUCAACCAAGUUCCUAUAUCUGCGCUCUCCCCUGUGUCCUUGGCUCUGUGGUUCUGAGGUUGUACUCUGGGUCAGAAAAUUCCUGCCUUCAUCCCAAAGUUCAGUACCAAGUACAGAGCUAUUUUUUUCUGGUGGUGCAAAAUUGAGCUGGGUGGGUACAUCAUGGUGCUAAGCUAUUCCUCAGGGCUGCCAAAUUGUGACUUGGCGUGUGUACUUAUGCCCCUAAAAGGUUGCCUUAAGCACAGAGGAAGGGCAAGCAUCGUGAUUACACACACACACACACACACACACACACACACACACACAGAAAGCAUGGCCACCAGUAUGAUACCCACACGAUGCACCCAUUCAAACGAUGUUUGCAAAAGGAAAUGGAUUUGAAAAUUCUUUGAAUGGAAAAAAUGGGGCUGGAUACUGUUCAGAGACAAAUUUGUACAUGAGGUUUUACUGAAAAGCUGGUUUCCAGCAAGGCUUAGGAUCGUUUCGCUGUGGCUUUCACUGUAUUAGAGCUUCCUAACCUCUUCCAGUUAGUGACGCAGUUGGAACUUCUGAUCACUCACGAGGGAGCGAGUGACCUUCUUUGUCUCUUUCAAUCUACCCAGCAGCUCGGCCUUGUUGGAUCGCGUCUCCCCUUAUGCUCCCUGCCUUGGUGCUAGAGCACAUCUGCCCACACGUACACACACGUACACGUGCGCGAACACAGACCCCGGCCGCCUUCACUAUCUCUCCGUUCCAGCCCUGGCUACUUCUGCCCAGCAACCAAGCCUGGCCUGCCCCGCGGCCUGCUGGUUGGAAAAAUGUUGAAGAAGACGGUCCUAGGGGUUUCCUUCUGACCCCGAAGCACGGAGACACGGUGCCUGUAAUGCGCUGAAGCUCACACUCCAUGUCUUCCCUGCAAGGACAGAAGUAAUUGUCACCACAUGGGGCCUUUCAUGCGGGGUGGGGGGCGGGUGGGGAUCACAUGUGGAGCUGGAGAAGGUGGUAGUUAUAUUGCGUGGUUUGAGGACUAGGGAGUUUCCCAGCUCCUAAACCUCUUCCCUCUUCUCUAUCCCACCUGCCUGUCACAGCAACCAAUGUGCACCUGCUUAGCUCCGCUCCUAUGGGCUGUGAAUGAUUUUUGGUCAUCAGGAGUUUCCUACUAAAAGGUGUGCAUUCCAGCCUUUACGGCCAAUACCUCGUAGGGAUCAGACCAGUGAGGAUCUGUGGAGGGGCGCGGCCAGGGGCUAGGGACGGCUUUGCUUCAUAAGAGCUGAUGGAAGGCUGAACGCCAGUAUUGCGACAGGUAGAGGGGGACAUCCUUCUUCCAGGUAAGCACCGGGUACAGAUUGGUAUGGUCACCCAGCUGGUAGUGGGACCGAGGCUUUCUGGAGCCACGAUCAGGUACUAAUCCCAGCCAGUUGAAGGUCUUCCAUAGGUGACUUCCUGCCUGUUUGUUACUUGGUGCUUCUAUUUCUCCGUGGCGAGAAAGAAGGCACCCUUUUGGAUUUAUGUGGGUAUAGAGGAUGACCUUUGGGGACACACUCAAGCUUGUUCAGUGUCCUCGAUCUGCAUGAAGGAGAGUGCCUCCCCAGUGCAACCUCCUGAUGGGCUCGAUGCAAGCCCUUACAAAAACACGAACGUGUUUAAGAGAAGUAAAGCAAAGUCAUUUUUGAAUGUGAGUCCAUGCAAGACUGCACAUGAAAAUACAGAGCGAAACUCGAUCAAACCUGGCCCCUCUCUCGCAGGCUUCCUCGGGGGUGGAGGAGAUGUCUGCAGACUGGAAAAUGUAAUUUCAAGGGGGCCUGGAGAGAGACAGCAAUAAAGACCCGUGUGUUUUAUUGCACAUUCUGAGGGGGAAAGGCUUAGGAAGUGCCUUAAUGGAGGAAAUGAGAGAUGGUUCUAGAGGACAGAGCUUGAUAAAAGGAAGGCGGCCCAAGCUCUCAACAGGAGAGGUCAUGCCUCUUUAAUUUGUUGGAAUUCAUGAAGGGUUUGCUGUAGCUGCAGCAAAGCAAAAGUCGUGGGCUGUUCGAGUUUCUAUCUAUCAGUGUUGAUGAAGCAGAGAUGGAAAGACGCUGUAGCUAGUUAUCAAGUAAACAGCGGCGAGCUGGUAAAUGUUUACCGGCUGGCUCCAGGGACGGGGUGGCCCGGAGCCCUGAUCUGUAGUUUUGCCGAUUUCCGUGGUGUAAAUACUCCCACCGUGGCUGACCUCAGGCUGCCCACGUGACGUCACUGAACACAGACCUGGGAAGAGAUACACAGAAUGCGCUCUGGUGAGCUGGUGCGGGCCAGCUCCAGCCCGGCUCUGCCUGAACAACCCGGUCAGUGGUCAGCUUUUUUUUCCUUUGGCGUUGAUGUGGGGUCAGGGAGCCAGGAGCCACUGGUCCGCUCGUCCUUCCUCAGACAGGAGCUGACGGCCUGCUUCAGGAUGGCAGGCCCGGCUGUUUUAGGUAGCACGAGACUUGGGCUGAGGAGGAGAGCCAGAUAUAGGUCCCCCAACCCAACGCCCCCCCCCCCCCCAUGUCUCCUGAAGCUGUGAUUUAAAUUUGUAAUGUUUUAAAAUUAUUCCUGAAGAAUCCGAAAUGCUUCGGAGAAAUUCCGGUAAGCCCAGAGGAUUCUGAGCACAGCAUGGGACGCGCACAGCAAGGGCAUAUUGGGCCUUCAGGGAAAACUCCCCUUUACUUGAAAUGGACUCUUUUCAAUGACGUGUGAGCUGACCGUGGGUAACAGGACCAACAGGGGUCGUGGGGUCAUCCCCCUCCUAGUCGUGGUCGGUGAAGGUUGUUUAGAAAGGACGGAUUCUGGCUUCCCUUGGAGCUCCUAUCUGCCCUCCAUAUGUCUUGCAUUUUAAAAAAGUGCAGACCUGAAUUAGAAUGUUCGGUCCUGUUACCCCGAAAGUACAAUCAUACUUGUCAGACCAAACGGGCUCUGUUUAGACCACUUGCGAGGCACCUUUCCUUUGAGUGUAGGGUUUCACUUCUCCGGGCUUUGGAGUACUGGGCAGUUCCCCUCACAGAAGCCAUGAGAAAGGGGAGGUCACAUGCGAGUCCCUUGACCUUUGCAGGGAGAAGCCCUACGUUUUGGGUGUCAGAGAGAAAUUCUGAUUGGACAAAGGCUUCUGUAGCUAAUGAAACAUAAACAAUAAAAAACCUAAGCCACCCUCCCCCGCCAAAGACUGGAGAGCUAGGAGGUCCAUUAUGCAAUUUAUUCUACAUGUAUUUAUUGCUAAGUGCUGGAAAAAUAAAUAAGACCCAGCGACUCUGUCCUUAAGCUAUUCACUAUUUAGAAAGGCAGGCAGAACCUUGGAGAAGUUGGCACUUAGGUCAGGAGGCAGAGGGGAGCCAUGGGCAGGGUUUGGUCAGGGGCAUGACACAGGCAGAGCUACCUUCUUAGAAACGGGUGUGGGAAGGUGGGUUGGGACCACAGACCAGGAGCAGUGCCCACCCAAGUUUCAGGAUGGAGGUCAUAACAGUCCAUGCUGGUGGAGAUAGUGGGAAGGGAGAGAAGUGAAUAGGGUGUGAGUAGUUUCAUAGAGAGAAACACCAGUGUUAGAGGAAGUAUUCAGAAGGGCAGGAUGACGAGCCCAAUUGAAUGGUCUAGCAUGAGAGGAGACAGGGAGAAAUGGGUAUAUUUUCCACGAGUGUCUGGUGUUUCUGCACAUCCGUGAGCAUGGGCACCGACAGCUUUUGUUCCAGACUAUCUUUUCAAGGACAUUUGUCUAGCAAACAGCCUUGGAGGAUAGAGAGUGUUGUCCUCUGGAGCAGAAGGUAAGUCUGUUUGCUUUCCAGGAAACUCAAGAUAAUGUCUACGUCAAAGGUCAGGCAGCUUUGCCGGCAGCCCAUCAUCAAAAUGAAGCUCACACUGCAUGCUGUGCCCGGAACAAUAACAUCUUUGGUCUCUGA